rnacentral:rRNA from 2 species
GACGAACCGUGCGAACGUUAUUCGGAAUCACUGGGCUUAAAGCGCGUGUAGGCGGGCCGGCACGUCGGGUGCUGAAAGCCCCCGGCUCAACCGGGGAAGCGGCCUCGAUACGACCGGCCUGGAGGGGGGUAGGGGGAGCCGGAACUUCCGGUGGAGCGGUGAAAUGCGUUGAGAUCGGAAGGAACGCCCGUGGCGAAAGCGGGCUCCUGGACCCCACCUGACGCUGAGACGCGAAAGCCAGGGGAGCGAACGGG